UACGUAGGGUGCGAGCGUUGUCCGGAAUUAUUGGGCGUAAAGGGCUCGUAGGCGGUUUGUCGCGUCGGGAGUGAAAACUCAGGGCUUAACCCUGAGCCUGCUCCCGAUACGGGCAGACUAGAGGUAUGCAGGGGAGAACGGAAUUCCUGGUGUAGCGGUGAAAUGCGCAGAUAUCAGGAGGAACACCGGUGGCGAAGGCGGUUCUCUGGGCAUUACCUGACGCUGAGGAGCGAAAGUGUGGGGAGCAAACAGG
rnacentral:rRNA from 1 species